GGAGCUAUAGUGCAAUGGUUAGCACACUCGACUGCACUUCCAGUGAGGUGAAGGACCUGGGUUCGAUUCCCAGGUGCCCA